UGUGUGUCUGAAUCUGGAAUGGUCUUU
rnacentral:piRNA from 1 species